rnacentral:pre_miRNA from 13 species
UCCUCAGAACGAAACUGGCUUUCCCAGUGGUCUACCAGAGUAAUUUCACUCCUCUGAGAUCAUUGUGAAAGCUGAUUUUGUGCAAUUUGUCCA